AUCUAUAAAUAAUAGUAAACGUAGCAAAGAACAACAUCAAAAUACAACACAAAAACAUGAUGAAAUUUCUCUCAACUUUCUUGAUCCUCUUCUCCCUUCUCUUGAUUGUGAGCAGUAAUGAAGCAAGAAGCAUUCCCGAUGAAUAUUGGAGAAGCAUAAUGAAUGAUGAACCCAUGCCAAAGGCGAUUCAAGAUGUUUUGCCCCUUGAAGAUGUUAACAAAGUAAAUAAGGAUCAGUUCGUACGGAAUUUCGAUUUAAAACCGAAUCUCAUAAUCUAUCACUCUCAUGUGAUGUAUAGCCAAAAAAAUCAUCACAUAGUUUCAUCAUCUUCAUCAACGUCGUCUUCUUCUUCUUUUUCUAACGAGUUGAAUUAAUGAGUAGAAACAUUAAUGUAUCGGUGAGAGAAAAGUCAAAUCUUGGUUGUCAAGUAUGUAUGGAUUGUAGCUUUAUUGGUAUUAGAUGUGAUGGGGUUAUUAUUGUUCAUAAAUAGUGAAAGUUUAGUACUUUUUGGAAGCA